UGUGUGUAUGUGUGCGCGCGCGCCUGCGUAUUACGAAGAGACUUGGAAAAAGGCGUCAUAGCCAGGAUGAUGUAUUGUUAACGUGUAUCGUUUAUGUGAGUAUUUUUAUCAUUUUAAUAAAAACAAUUUUCAAGUAUGCCGAAAACUAAUGCCGAAAAGUGUCGUGAAAAUCGGCAGAAAAGAAAAAAGAAAAAAAUAUUAAGGAGGUCCCAAAAAGUUGAACGGAACGUAUUCGUGAAUUUCGUGUACGCCGAAGAAGGUUAUUAAAUGUGCGAAAUAAUAUUUCUAAUGCGCUUAAUAAUAAUGCGUCCACUGUAGAAAAUAGUGAAAACGAUCAUCCAAAUUAUUUGCUAGAUGGUUCCGAUGGUUUAUUUACUUAUGAAAGAGAGAAUACUUUGUAGUGGGCUCAGGCCUACAUGCUUCUUCUUUCGAGGGAGGAGUGAAGACGCUGUAAAAUGUUCAGUGAUGUAUAGCGUAUAUUAAGGAGCAUCCCAUGAGCAAAAAAUCUGUGUAAUUGAUCAAUUACAUUUGUACUCGCUACAAAUAGAACAAGAGAGAAGUCUAGAUAAAUAGUGCGUCUCAACCAAAACCUGGUUUUCAUUUAUCUAUUUUAAUUUUAUUUCAAGAUGCCGAAAACAAAUUAUCAAAUCUCAAAGAAGAGUACUGAUCAAAAUAAAGCAACGAAAGUUAAACUACCACAGAAAA
rnacentral:lncRNA from 1 species